GACGAACGCUGGCGGCGUGCUUAACACAUGCAAGUCGAACGAAGCUUGAUUACGGAUUCUUCGGAUGAAGUAUGAUAUGACUGAGUGGCGGACGGGUGAGUAACGCGUGAGUAACCUGCCCUUCAGAGGGGGAUAGCGUUUGGAAACGAACGGUAAUACCGCAUAAUGUAUUUUGACCGCAUGAUCGAAAUACCAAAGAUUUAUCGCUGAAGGAUGGACUCGCGUCUGAUUAGGUAGUUGGUGGGGUAACGGCCUACCAAGCCGACGAUCAGUAGCCGGACUGAGAGGUAGAUCGGCCACAUUGGGACUGAGACACGGCCCAGACUCCUACGGGAGGCAGCAGUGGGGAAUAUUGCACAAUGGGCGCAAGCCUGAUGCAGCAACGCCGCGUGAAGGAAGACGGUUUUCGGAUUGUAAACUUCUGUUCUUAGUGAAGAAUAAUGACGGUAGCUAAGGAGCAAGCCACGGCUAACUACGUG
rnacentral:rRNA from 1 species